AUUGAACGCUGGCGGAAUGCUUUACACAUGCAAGUCGAACGGCAGCACGGGAGCUUGCUCCUGGUGGCGAGUGGCGAACGGGUGAGUAACAUAUCGGAACGUACCCAGUCGUGGGGGAUAACUAUCCGAAAGGAUAGCUAAUACCGCAUACGUCCUGAGGGAGAAAGCGGGGGAUCGCAAGACCUCGCGCGAUUGGAGCGGCCGAUACCGGAUUAGCUAGUUGGUGGGGUAAAGGCUCACCAAGGCGACGAUCCGUAGCGGGUCUGAGAGGACGACCCGCCACACUGGAACUGAGACACGGUCCAGACUCCUACGGGAGGCAGCAGUGGGGAAUUUUGGACAAUGGGGGCAACCCUGAUCCAGCCAUUCCGCGUGAGUGAAGAAGGCCUUCGGGUUGUAAAGCUCUUUCAGCAGGAACGAAACGGUCGGCUUUAAUAAAGUCGGCUAAUGACGGUACCUGCAGAAGAAGCACCGGCUAACUACGUG
rnacentral:rRNA from 1 species